UGAAAUUAAGGAUACAAGAACCAAGCCCAUAAAAACUUUGCUUCAAGAUUCCUCCCAAACCUAAGCCCUAAAAGAUAGAAACCCUAGGGAGAAACCGGGGUAACCCAAACCCAUUUGCAUCAGUAGCUGACCAUCUUUUUGUCAACAAGCUACUCGCCAUUAUCCACCAAGAUGAGACUGCUGAUUAAUAUCAACAAGCAAGGGAGAGCAACAAAACAACCAUCACAGAGUGCUUAAGCACUCACUCAAACCAAAGUCUACCCUGCUCAAAGCCAUCAAAGCCAGAAGAAGCGGAGAAAAAAUUGCAACAAAAACACUAGAAAAGCAGGGACUUGGACCCUUGCGGACGAACCGGGAAUAAGAUUGGGAAAACGGCCCGUUCAUACUUGCCUUGAAGGAAAGGUUGGCCAUCUCGGAACCACUCCUCCAACUGCUAAGUGCUAGCUGAUCUGCUUCUUAAAACUUCUAAUCAACCUCCAAGGGAGGCCUACUGCAGCAUGUAAGCAGGCCCACUGAACACACUAAAACUCCAAAAAAAAAAAAAUUUU
rnacentral:misc_RNA from 1 species